rnacentral:ribozyme from 1 species
AAAAAAAAAAAAAAAAAAGAAGAAGAAGACAAAAUCAACUCUCUCUUGUUAGUUGUUUUCUUCAUUCUCAAUCAUUCCUUUGCUCCUUCGUUCCCCUUUUCCUUCCACC